rnacentral:misc_RNA from 1 species
AAGUCGUAACAAGGUAACCGUAGGUGAACCUGCGGUUGGAUCAUUACCAAUUCAAUUAUUUCUCAUAUUGUUUGAUUGUUUGGCGAAAAAAAUUUUUUCUCCUUCGAUCAAGUCAAUUUAUGAGAAAAACACUUUGUGAACAAGUAAUUGUAUUUUGGUGGUUUUUCAAGCCUUUAACUUUCUAAAGGUUUUGCUCUAGUUUUUUUUUGCUGGAGUGAGGCCACCAAAGGACCUUUUUCACUGUCUUUUUUCAAAGGCAGCUUGAGUUCAAGGUCUUUUAAACAGACUCAUUAUUAUAUUAUUUAUUUUCUUUUAAAAAUAAAAGCCAAUUGAAAAACAACUUUUAACAACGGAUCUCUUGGCUCUC